UCGCAAAUAAUCUCUCCAUCCUCAUCUCUGUAGCAAAUCACACCAUUAGAACGAUCCUCGAAAACCUGCCAAAAUCAACUACACUGUUUGAACAGCAUAAAAGUCUUGCUUAGAGGUUUAGUUUGAAGAGAUGUAAUAGAUUUUCGGGGAAGAAGAGGAGAUCUGCAAUUUGUGGCUGCCAUUCGCUUCGAGCUUUAAAAAUAUGUUUUACGUAAAAUCAAACCUUCUUUCAAUAGAUUUUAAAGAAGAAAGCAUUGAAAUGUUGCAGAUUAUAAAAUUUUAUAGGUCCCAAUCAAUUUGCUUA